GCGGACACAGUUGCGUGAGGGAUUUCUGCCAUUCUCACUGCAGUGGAGCAAAGCUUGUUCUUCUCCCGCUCUGUCGUGCAGGUUGAAUUGACCAAAGCAAUGGUGAUGGAGAAGCCUAGUCCCCUGCUGGUCGGGCAGGAGUUUGUGAGACAGUAUUAUACACUGCUGAACCAGGGCCUAGACAUGCUACCUAGAUUUUACGGAAAUAACUCUUCCUAUGUUCAUGGGGGAUUGGAUUCAAAUGGAAAGCCAGCAGAUGCAGUCUAUGGGCAGAAAGAAAUCCAUAGGAAAGUGACGUCACAAAACUAUACCAACUGCCACACCAAGAUUUGACAUGUUGAUGCUCAUGCCACUUUGAGUGAUGGUGUGGUAGUCCAAGUGAUGGGGCUUCUCUCUAAUAGCAACCAGGCUUUGAGGUGAUUCAUGCAGACAUUUGUCCUUGCUCCUGAGGGCUCUGUUGCAAAUAAGUUCUAUGUUCACAAUGAUAUCUUCAGAUACCAAGAUGACGUCUUCGGUGGCUUUGUCACUGAGCCUCAGGAGGAAUCUAAAGAAGAAGUAGAGGAACCUGAAGAAAGACAGCAGACACCUGAGGUGGUUCCUGAUGAUUCUGGAACUUUCUACAAUCAGACUGUUGUCAGUAAUGACAUGGAAGAACAUUUGGAGGAGCCAGUUGUUGAACCAGAACCUGAUCCUGAACCAGAACCAGAGCAAGAACCUGUAUCUGAAAUCCAAGAGGAAAAGUCUGAGCCAGUGUUAGAAGAAACUGCUCCUGAGGAUAUGCAGAAGAGUUCUCUAGCACCUGUAGACAUAGCUCAGACAGUCCAGGAAGACUUGAGGACCUUUUCUUGGGCGUCUGUGACUAGUAAGAACCUUCCACCUAGUGGAGCUGUUCCAGUUACUGGAAUACCAUCUCAUGUUGUUAAAGUACCAGCUUCACAGCCUCAUCCAGAGUCUAAGCCGAAACUCAGAUUCCACCAGAGACCUCAAAGGGAUCAAAGAGUGUGAGAACAGCCAAUAAAUAUUCCUCCCCAGAGAGGCCCCAGACCAAUUUGUGAGGCUGGUGAGCAAGGUGAUAUUGAACCCAAAGAAUUAUGAGACACCCUGACAGUCAUCAACUCCUCAUUAGCAAUCUGCCUCAUGAGGUAGACAAAUCAGAGCUUAAAGAUUUCUUUCAAAAUUAUGGGAAUGUGAUGGAGCUGCGCAUCAACAGUGGCGGGAAAUUACCCAAUUUUGGUUUUGUUGUGUUUGAUGAUUCUGAGCCUGUUCAGAAGAUCCUUAGCAACAGGCUCAUCAUGUUCAGAGGUGAGGUCCGCCUGAAUGUGGAAGAGAAGAAGACUCGAGCUGCCAGGGAAGGGGACUGUCAAGAUAACUGCCUUCAGGGACCUGGAGGACCUCGAGGUGGGCUGGGUGGUGGAAUGAGAGGCCCUCCCCGUGGAGGCAUGGUGCAGGAACCAGGAUUUGGAGUGGGAAGGGGGAUUGUUCUUCACUGA